GAGUUGAUUGGGCUGAUCUGACUGGCUAGGGAGGUGUUCCCUACCUCCCUCACGGCUCCAUGUGCAUCCUUUCUGCAUCUUCACAUUUGGUUGAAGAAUUCUACCUUCCCUGAUAGAGGAGGACCAUUGUUUGUCAAGAGUAUAUGAAUAGCUGUCUUCCUCUUCUAGGGUCUCCAAGAUCCUCUCUGGAUGGGAGUACUUGUUUGUAUCUUCACUGUGCUCCUCAGAAGAGAGACAGAGAGAGACAGAGAGACAGAC
rnacentral:sRNA from 1 species